ACUGCUCAGUAACACGUGGAUAACCUGCCCUUGGGUCCGGCAUAACCCCGGGAAACUGGGGAUAAUUCCGGAUAACGCAUAUAUGCUGGAAUGCUUUAUGCGUAAAAUGGAUUCGUCUGCCCAAGGAUGGGUCUGCGGCCUAUCAGGUAGUAGUGGGUGUAAUGUACCUACUAGCCGACAACGGGUACGGGUUGUGAGAGCAAGAGCCCGGAGAUGGAUUCUGAGACAUGAAUCCAGGCCCUACGGGGCGCAGCAGGCGCGAAAACUUUACAAUGCGGGAAACCGUGAUAAGGGGACACCGAGUGCCAGCAUCAUAUGCUGGCUGUCCAGGUGUGUAAACUACACCUGUUAGCAAGGGCCGGACAAGACCGGUGCCAGCCGCCGCGGUAACACCGGCGGCCCGAGUGGUGAUCGUGAUUAUUGGGUCUAAAGGGUCCGUAGCCGGUUUGGUCAGUCCUCCGGGAAAUCUGACGGCUCAACCGUUAGGCUUUCGGGGGAUACUGCCAGGCUUGGAACCGGGAGAGGUAAGAGGUACUACAGGGGUAGGAGUGAAAUCUUGUAAUCCCUGUGGGACCACCUGUGGCGAAGGCGUCUUACCAGAACGGGUUCGACGGUGAGGGACGAAAGCUGGGGGCACGAACCGGAUUAGAUACCCGGGUAGUCCCAGCCGUAAACGAUGCCCGCUAGGUGUCAGGCAUGGCGCGACCGUGUCUGGUGCCGCAGGGAAGCCGUGAAGCGAGCCACCUGGGAAGUACGGCCGCAAGGCUGAAACUUAAAGGAAUUGGCGGGGGAGCAC
rnacentral:rRNA from 1 species